GUAAUACGUAGGUGGCAAGCGUUAUCCGGGAUUUAUUGGGCGUAAAGAGAGUGCAGGCGGUUUUCUAAGUCUGAUGUGAAAGCUUUCGGCUUAACCGGAGAAGUGCAUCGGAAACUGGAUAACUUGAGUGCAGAAGAGGGUAGUGGAACUCCAUGUGUAGCGGUGGAAUGCGUAGAUAUAUGGAAGAACACCAGUGGCGAAGGCGGCUACCUGGUCUGCAACUGACGCUGAGACUCGAAAGCAUGGGUAGCGAACAGGAUUAGAUACCCUGGUAGUCCAUGCCGUAAACGAUGAGUGCUAGGUGUUGGAGGGUUUCCGCCCUUCAGUGCCGGAGCUAACGCAUUAAGCACUCCGCCUGGGGAGUACGACCGCAAGGUUGAAACUCAAAGGAAUUGACGGGGGCCCGCACAAGCGGUGGAGCAUGUGGUUUAAUUCGAAGCUACGCGAAGAACCUUACCAGGUCUUGACAUCUUGCGCCAACCCUAGAGAUAGGGCGUUUCCUUCGGGAACGCAAUGACAGGUGGUGCAUGGUCGUCGUCAGCUCGUGUCGUGAGAUGUUGGGUUAAGUCCCGCAACGAGCGCAACCCUUGUUACUAGUUGCCAGCAUUAAGUUGGGCACUCUAGUGAGACUGCCGGUGACAAACCGGAGGAAGGUGGGGACGACGUCAGAUCAUCAUGCCCCUUAUGACCUGGGCUACACACGUGCUACAAUGGACGGUACAACGAGUCGCGAACUCGCGAGGGCAAGCAAAUCUCUUAAAACCGUUCUCAGUUCGGACUGCAGGCUGCAACUCGCCUGCACGAAGUCGGAAUCGCUAGUAAUCGCGGAUCAGCAUGCCGCGGUGAAUACGUUCCCGGGCCUUGUACACACCGCCCGUCACACCAUGAGAGUUUGUAACACCCAAAGUCGGUGGGGUAACCU
rnacentral:rRNA from 2 species